ensembl:lncRNA
UUUUUUUUUUUUUUUUUUUCACUGCUGCUGGAAAGAGCUACAAGAUUUGGCCUGCAAACCCCGAGACUCUUCUCCAAAAAGAUAUUUGACUUUCAACUCUGUGCAGAAAAUGUGACUGCAGCAGCUGCUGUGCUGAGGCUGCAGACACAGAGAGAGCUCGACCAGCAGGAAGGAUGGCUUAUCACUUCCCUCCUAAGUGACAAAUCAAUAAAGGCUCUUCAAAACCAACCCCACAGGUCACACUGCAGCAACAAGUCUGUAAGCACAGGCACGGCUCAGUCUCACAGGUGGGAGCAAAGGCUCAGUGCUGCAAUGGAAAACCUCAAAAGCACAGGGCCAAAAGAAAGCAGCAUAACACCAAGAGAUGCACACUAAUUUCCACAGAAACUGCCCUGUUUGCAGCACACCCCUGGAGCAGGAAGGGGCCAGUGGAAAAUUUCUAGAAGGUACCAGGUGCUGGCCUGCACUGCCCUCAGCAUGGGCAGGACACAGUGGCUGGCUAAAGUGCAGGUUCAGAAAAAAGAUGUUUUUGCAAAUGUAGGACCUUAGGUUGGGCCUGAACUUGGAGCAGUCAGAACAACAUUUAAGAGGCUGAUUAACUGCCCUGAAGCAGACUGAGAAAGUUCCAGGUACAGCCCUGAGUCAGGCUCUUCACUCCCACCCACAGUGGGGCAACAUCCCACUGGUGGCAUCACCCUCCGUGAGUGGCUCUCCUGGCUUUCUGGAAUUCACAGUGUUUAGCAGUCUCUUGUAAAUACUGAAAUAGAUCUAAUUAUUCAUUUAUCCAGGAGAAAGGAAUCUCCUGCUGUUUCCUACAACCAGGCAAAAUGGCCAAUUGCAGCAAUGCAGGCGAGAAAGGCACAUAGCAGCCCAGUCCCAUCUGGGGCACGUGCAGGAAGGCUCUCCCUCACUCUGCAGGCAUCUGCCAGCCCUGCACCUCUCAUCAGAAGUGUUUGUACACACAGCAGAAAAUUCAAGGUUGUUUUUUGGGUUUUUUUUGCUACUCAAUAAAACACACAAGCCCAAACCAGUGAAUUCUCCAAACCCAAAUGGCGCCAAUGCAGAGCAGCCCAGCCACAACCUCUUCCAUCACCUUGGAGGAGGGGUGGAUCUCAGCUGUGAUGAGGUGCCCAGACAGCCUGGUUCCCAUGUCCUCUUGCAUUGCUUUGCUCCUCUGUGGGCCAUGGAGCAGAAAAUAGGAGUGACAGCAGCCCUGCUCUCCGUGGCUCCCUGGCAGCUCACUUAGGCUGUAAUGAAUGGGAGCUGAAAGCUCCUUGGGCUGACAGCCCCAAACACCAACUGUGGAGCUGCAAGUUGCUCACACACCUACAGAGGACACAGGACAGAGUGCAAAGACAAAGCUUUUAAUCACCUUGUGUGUUAUCAGAUCCCCUCCUACUUGCACGGAGAAGAUUAAUGUCUUUGGGUCACUGGCUCCUGACAGUGCUGCCAUCAUUCCUCCCUCUUUGAGCUUCCUUUCUCAGUUUUGUGUUUUAAAUAUUUCACUUUCUUUCUCUUUUCUUCCUGCAGCCAUUUUGCCAUGGCAUGGUGUUCCUCCAGCAUGCAGGGACAAGCUCUUUGCUCCACAGAUCCUUUCCCAAGGGAGCACCAUGUCUGUACCCACAGGAAACCCCAUCCCACCUGCUGAGAGGGAUUCAGAAAGCCAAAUUUUUUAGCUUUCCCUCUCCUUAAUGAACUAUCAUUUCCAGCCCUUGCAUGGCCCAGGAUGUUGAACACCCCCUCGUUUUGCUUUGCCCUUCCCUGUGUGGCUGAGUGCCCGGAGAUGCUCCCAUGCCAUCCAUGCCUGCAGAUCCUGGGCUGCUCCCCAGGCCAGGCAGAGCAGGGGGAAGAGCAAGCACAAAGCCCCAAACCUGCCACCCACCAGCACCAUGAGGCAGAAGGGAAUUCCCUGAGUUAAACUGAGGUAGUUGGCAAUACAGAUGGAAAACUCUCCUUUUCCAGAAAGAGCAUGAGUCAGCUCUGUCUGAUCAAGGGACAAGGGAAUGGUUCCAGCAGCAGAAAGCACAGAUAGAGGAGUUGUAAUUCCAUUAACUCCUUUAUGGCUUGUUUUCCAGCCCAGAAAUAAUCAAUAGAAGUUACAGAACGUACUAAAUUAUGCUCCGCUUAUUUUUCUAAAAUUAUGAACAACUUUAAGAGCUUGUUGUCAACACCAACUGCCAGAAAGGCAAACUAGCAGACUCCAUAAUCUCAGCUUUAAGAAUCUGGCCAUUCCCAAAUUUCUUUCAAAGUCAUGAAUAUUUUAAAACUAACAUAGCCUCUUGUUCCUUUAAUUUGAUUUUUUUCUUAUUAUUUCUCAAUUUCUCAGCCAUCCAUAUACCCCUGCAUCACGAUCUUAGAGUUUCUUCUACAACCACAAGCUGUUUCAUAAUUACAGCUUUUAUUGUGUUCCAGACAUGGAUGUUGUCAGUCAAUAUUUGAAAGUUCACAGUAGGUUUGUGACAAAGCAAUCCUGAAUCAUCUCAGUUUAUGCAGGAAUCCAGGCUGUGUUUAUUUUACUCCUACCCAACAAAGCAGAUACUGCUCUGAGUGUGGCCAGCUGAAGUCACAGCUGGUGGGUCAGCUCAGCUCUCGAGUCAGGGCUCCAUGUCUUGCUGCUUCCCAGCCUGGGCUGGUAUUUCGUGCCCAACCUCAGGUCAGGUCUGUGCUGUUGCAGCUCACAAAUGCACAAAUAUUUGUUAUGGUUUGGAUCAGAGUCAAGCCUCAACCAGCAUCAGUUGCAGGGGGGCAAAAGCCUUUCCUAUUGCACAAGGGAACACGCACAGGAAGAGAAGUUGGUGCUGUGGCCCAGCAUAAAUCAGCUCUUGAAAUUAAGACUUUGCUCCAGUGAUGACUAAUCUCUUUGCAUAAUUCCCCUCUGGAUGUUUUGGAUACAAACACGUUGUUUCUCCUGUAGUGCCAGAUUUCAGAGGGUCUUUCUUACUAUUCAUGUCAAAUCUAGUUGGGCUGCAAGUCUGUCUCAAUAAAACGAAAAAAUUGCUCAUAUCUGGAGACUUAGACAUACAAAUGUUUUCAGAAGAACACAUCUCCCAUUUUAAAACAUAUGUUUCCUCCUUUGUAUCUGUUUUGUCUUUGGUUUUUUGCAAGCUUCUUAGGAAAUGUGUUGGCAUGAACAAUAUGUUUCAAGCAAAGACAGCAAAUACUUUCAGACAACAAAGUUUUUAAAAGUCAUAAUGUUUGAUUCAUCGUGGUAAACAUCUGAUUUAUUUACUUUCUGUCCAGGAAGAGCAUCAUAGUAUUGCCCAAGACUGAAAGGCCCAGAAAACUGUUACAAUCCUGAACAUCAAAUGCUGUAAAUUAUCUGUACCAUGCACUACAGCCAAAAGCUGUUCACAGAAGGGUUUGCUAUCAUGACUCACUUCCAGGGAAGUUGUCUUCUGCUCAGUAGAAUUUUAGGUGCCCAAAGGGAACAAAAGAUGCAAAAUUAAUCAAAUACUAAUUCUUAAUUGUUCACCCUCUUCCAACAUCCCCAGAGGUGACCCAUUGGCUGGAUAAACCCCACUGAUUCUCUGCAGGGCAAAAGAGGAGAGGUAAAAGCAGAAUAAGACUUCUCUGUGCCUUUGGAGCAAUAUUUAUUUGUACUUCCCCAAAUCAUCCACCUGCCAGCAUGAUAGUCACUUGUUUCCUAAUCUUUCCACCUAAAACCAGAUCCACUACAGGAAAUGGGGACUGAACAGAGUAGCAACAAGGAGUAAACAGGGAUUUCUGAGCCUGUUCUGCAGAGGAUGCUGGUCCAGCCUCCAGAAUGCUUGAGGGUCAUCUGGCUGGAGGUCAUCUGGUCCAAGCAGUCACCUAGAGUGUGUGGCCAGACUGUGUCCAGAUGGCUUUUGAAUAUUUCCAAGGAUGGAGAAUCCAAAACCUCCUCAGGCAACCCAUGCCAGUGCUCAGUCACCCCCACCAUCAUUCUGCCCAUAGUUCAGAUUUGCAUCAGCCAUGAAAAGCCUGAGACAGAGACAAGAUUGUCAGAGAAAUUAAAUUCACACCUUCAGCCUCACCUUGCCAGGCUAAAGCAGGAGCUGAAACAGCCCAUGGGCUUUGGUCAAUAAGCAAGCAACUGUUAAUUCAGUGAGUUUGGUGGAUUCCCCUUCUGCAGAUUCAAGCCCACUUGAGAAAUUUGUUGAGAUCCAGGAAAUGCCUCUAGGAAUCUUUCCUUUAAAGUCCUUACAGAUUAUAUCUGACACAAGCCAGAACAGUCUCUGCUCUCAAAAUUCACUAAAAAAUUUGAAAAAUUAGCUUUAUGUUUUGUUCCCGAUCUUUUGUAUGGGACAAAGUUUCCCUCUCAAGUAAUCUGUACCAGGUCCAACCCAACAUGUGUUACCUUUUCCAGUUUAUAUCCCUGCUCUCUGCGCUCUGGGUCACAGAGCUGGGUCCAGGCUCAGUGAGCUGCAGAGAUGUUCUCUGUACACUGUUCCCUUGUGAAGAACACCUCAGCCCUGAGAGGAACAACUGUGCACUGUUUUAUUUCCACUGUCUGCUCCCAAGCACCUUCAUCAGAGGCGUCGAGUUAGGAGUUAAUUAAACUGACAGCACUGCUUCACUGCAGUUCAGUGCUAAACAAUUGAACUUUUAUCUGAUCCAAUUUCUCAGAAGCAAAACCAGGCAGUGCCUGGUUAGAGAGGGAGAUCUGGAAAACACAGUCCCAGGUCAGCGGGGCUGUGCUCCCUGUGCAUCACUGCAGCCAAGACACGGAGCACAUCAACAGCAGAGUGUGGCUGUGCUGGGCGUGGGGCACUUGGAUGUGGAGCUGGGGAUGGCAAAGGGUCAGGGAGACUGAGGAGGUAUAAAUGGGGGAAUUCACCUGAGACUUGACCUGGGGAAAUCCUGUUCAAGAGAGUUAUUUGAGCUCUUAAUCAGAAUCAGGGAGAAAUGCCAAUUCAAGCAUUUGUGAGGUGUUGGGAUUUUUUAACAAACUGUUUAAAAUCACAGGAUGCAACAACCCUGUUUAGUAUUUUUUGCUUAUUAAAAAAAAAAAUAUCCCUAAAUUACAUCUAAAGACACAGCUCAGAUGCUCAGAAUUAUCUGUUGCCAGCUCACAUGGGCAUGUCGUUUCUAUUGUAAAAUCACAGCUUGACUGAGCAUGGUGGGGUCACCAUGCUUCUCUCACAGCCUCUGUGUCUGGGGCUCUGGGCAGGUUGCCUCUGAAAUGAACUUGUACUGUGACUCAGUGGUGAGUCGAAGUGAGCUGACCCUCGUUUCUCAAGGAAUAGAAUGACACGAAAACCUUAUUACCACAUUGAGAUAAUAGGCUUGGGUAGGAUAAAGUGAAGAUGCAAUUUUAUAAUGUCAGCUCACUUUAUCUGAAAAACAAUGAAAGAAAUCUUGCUCCAUCUCUAUUGAUACAUUUCAUUUUGUACAUAAAAAUGUGCUUCACUUGAAUUUCAGCUUUGUUUAGAAAAAAAAAAAACCACAAAUAAAUCACUGUCCCUUUUUGCUUAUAUUUCCUUACAUGCAUCUGAAAUUUUACUUAAAAAAAAAAAAAAAAAAAAAAAA